ncrna:unclassified sequences DTF3800-IX RNA
GACCCCUGGCGAAGAGUCGCCGACUGUGGCGGCCUGCUCAGAUCAUUGAGUCUGAGCUAGUCAGGGGGGUUUUCU